CCCUCCACAAUCAUGAUGUCGUCAUCCUCUUCCUCCCCCAUCAAGAUCUCAGUGGUAGAGAGGGGGAAGGUGAUGACAUCAUGAUUCUAGAGGG
rnacentral:pre_miRNA from 1 species